ensembl:lncRNA
GUGAUUCUAAUGUGCAUGCAGGGCUGGGAACCACUGGUUGAGUGCACUGGCUUCCUGAGAUCGGUGAUACAUGGCAGGCCAUGCUUGGUUCCCAGCUUUGGUGAAUUCUUUCUAUCCAUGGAUGGAGCCACUCUCUCGGAAAGCCCUCUGUCUGGGAAUGAGGCCUUGACAGUCCUCUACUCCCCUGCUGCACCCCACUUCUAGCUGAGGUCCAGCCACCCAGAACCUGGUCACUACUACCUUUUGGCUUCUGGACUCCUGCUGUUCCGCCCCACCUGCUGGAUGCACCAGCUUUCCGGGUUGACCUGAAUAGAACUCUGCUCUCCUGCUCCAUUGGUUGCUGUGUUUAGCAUGUCUGGCCACCCUGGCAGCUAAGUCAGUGCUUUGCUCAAGCUCCCGCCACAGCUCAACACCCCCCCACCCCUUUGCCUGUGCAUGGAGGUCCCUGUGUGAUUCCUACCACCCGCCACCGCCCUGUGAGCUUGACAGGCUACGGUACCCUGCUGUUACAGCUAGGCGGCUGUCUAAGGAGGCCACAGAGCUCCCCUGCUGCUCUCCACCAGUGAUGAGCUCUUUGUGGCCCUGGGACCCCCACCCUCUGGGGCCAGUCCCUGUGCUUGGCCUCCGUGGCCCCGUGGCUGAGGCUUCCUGCCGGCUGCCUUCUUCCACUGACCUGCUGAGUGGCUCUGCCCUGUUCUGCGGUUUGCUGGCUGCCUGAGUCUAUCUGCACUGACUCCCACCCCUUGUCUUCUGUCCCUGAGGAGUGCCUGCUCUGAAGCCUCUGCGUGUCCCUGCAAGCCCCAGGUCCUGCCCUGCAACCUUGCCCUGUCACCCCUCACCCCACUCCAUGGGACAUUAUCCAGCCUUUUUUCCCCCACAUAUCCUGACUUGGACUCUGCUCCACUUUGAGCAGAAUCAAUCACUCAACUAAGAAUAAAAGGCGGGGUGCAUG